rnacentral:lncRNA from 1 species
AUGAGGACGUUUGGCAUGACAGCCCAGCAGGGAAAUAUGAGGCCAAGGGGGGAUCGAGUGGCCUCUCCUCCACUGUUAGUUCUCCAUCUCUCACUUGGCACAGGAUCAGCAGCUUCAUGGAUCACAUCUUCCCUACCCAACGUCCUCAGCUUCCCUCUCUUCCAGAGACCUCCAGGCCCAGGGCAAUGGCCCAGGAUGCAGGGAAGAAUGUUUCUGCUUCAGCUACCUUUGUGGCUCUCAAAAGGAAUCCUUUUCCUCUGCCCAUCCUGCCUGGAGACAUCUUCAUGGGCCUGGGGUGGCCACCCCUUGACUCACACCGGGUUGGAGAGUGAGACAGUUUUCCCUGGCUGUGGCUACUGCACAUGCUACAGGCACCACAGGAGAGAGGAGGGUGAAGGAUAACCGCCAAAAGUGGACAGGGAACCCCCAAAAGGGCUCCCCAAGCCCCCUGGCCACAGGUGCUACUCUUCUCUGAUCUCUCCUUCUGCUCCAUUUUCCCUGGACAAUUGCAGACUGAGAUGCAGAAUGAUAGAACCAGUUCGUCUUCAUGGGGUUCACACCUCUAGUGACUUUUUCUAGUAAAACCCAAUUUCAUUGCCAAACCUUCCAGAUCCCCUAAAUGGAUUCACAACCAGUUUAGACAAGAGGAGGCAACUAUGUGGCAAAGGGGAGACCCCACUCAAGUCCUGCCUCUGAGGCUAGUCAGCUACAUGAGCCUGGGCAAAUUAUUUGGUAUCUCAGCCCCAGUUUCCCCAGCUGAAUAAUAAGUAUUAUAGAAGAGGGGGAGAGGAAAGGGAACAAGCACUUAUUGAAUAUCUACUGUAACAAAGUGUUCUAAGCAUCUUACAGAUAAUGCAAUGGGUCCCCAAAACAAUCCAGGGAGGUGGAUGCUACUAUUAUCCCCAUUUUACAGUGGAGGAAACUGAGGCAGAUAGAGGUUAAGUGACUUGCCCAGGGUCUCCAAGUUAGUAAGAGUCUGAGGCUGCACUUGAACUCAGAUCUUCCUGACUCCAACUCUGUCAGAGGUUGAUAACUCUGGGUCCAUCUAAGAUAAAGAUCUGAGUGCCCUCGUCAGAGGUUGAAACCUCAUGGUCUGUCAGAAAAUGAGUCAGAGUGCCCUUCCCUCUACCUUCUUUGUGCUGGCAAGACAUGAUAUUGCUGAUUAUUCCAUGAACCUGGAUGGCAGUUGGAAUCAUUAUUCUACCCCAAGUGCUAUACUUCUUGUUACACUUUCCCAAGGAUUUUUCUCAGAGGAUUGUUUUUACUUUCUGUGAUCUGUACCUUUAAAAGAUGUAACCACUCUACAUUAAAUUGUAUUCACCUGCAAUCAGCAAGGUAAAACCCUUCUGACCCAAACCUUUCCAUUCUUAUUAUUUUUCCCUCUCCCUUACCUGGGGAACUC